rnacentral:rRNA from 1 species
AUGGAUUUCAUUGAAGCUCUUCCAAAAUCUGAGGGUUACACAGUGAUCUUGGUGGUAGUCGACAGAUUUACUAAGUAUGCUCACUUCAUUCCUUUGAAACAUCCUUUUUCUGCUCCUGUAGUGGCCAAGGCUUUCCUCCACACAUUGGUCAAUCUGCAUGGACCCCCACACACCAUUGUGUCUGAUAGAGACAAGAUAUUCACUAGUCAUUUUUGGAGAGAUUUGUUCAAACUGUGGGACACUAAGUUGCUCAUGAGUACUGCUUAUCAUCCUCAAACCGAUGGACAGAGUGAGCGGGUGAACCGGUGUUUGGAGAUGUUCCUCAGGUGUGCAGUUCAUGAUACGCCUACUAAGUGGCAUGCUUGGCUGCCCUUGGCAGAAUUCUGGUACAAUACAAAUUAUCACUCAUCUCUGGAGUGCUCUCCCUUCAAGGCCCUAUAUGGAUAUGAACCAACUUAUGGAGUCUUUCCUAGUCUGCUACAGUCUGACAACAUAGAUGUGGCGCAAUGGCUGCAGGAACAUCAGGCCCAUAUUGUUGUACUGAAAGCACACUUGUUUAAAGCCCAAGCCAAGAUGAAGCACUACGCAGACAAAAACAGAACACCCAGAAUGUUUUCUGUGGGAGAUGAAGUGUUUCUCAAGUUACAGCCCUAUGCUCAUACCACUGUGGCUAAUCGCCCAUGUGCCAAAUUGUCCUACAAGUUUUAUGGUCCCUUCCCAAUUGUUGAGCAGAUUGGACCAGCAGCAUAUAGAUUGCAGUUACCACCAGCUGCACAAAUUCAUCCGGUCUUUCAUGUCUCGCAACUCAAAGAGUUUGUUCCAGAUCAUACUCCUGUCUUCUCGAUAUUACCUGCUCCUGUGGACCUCUCCAGUCGCGAUGUUCAACCUGGUGCUAUCCUAGAAAGGAAACUGGUGAAGAAGGGUAACACGGCUCUCUUGCAGGUUUUGAUACAAUGGACAGGACUACCGGCGGAAGCUGCUACUUGGGAGAACUAUGACACGCUCAAGCUGCGUUAUCCCACUGCUCCAGCCUGGGGACAGUCUGAAGCUCAAGAGGGCGGCAAUGUCAGUACUAGCGCUCUACUACUGAUAAGAGAUGUGCCAAUGACAGUGCAGACGAAGUUGAUCGACACAGAGUGGGUGAAAAGGCAUGAAGACAAGUCAAGAGGCGAUGGGCCAUUGGGCCAGGUGGAGAGAUUAGGCCUGUAG